AAUGAACGCUGGCGGCAUGCCUAACACAUGCAAGUCGAACGAGGGGGGGACGGGUGAGGCAUGUCUGGGAACCCGCCUGAGGGAGGGGGAUAACUACUGAAAACGGUAGCUAAUACCGCAUAGCUUCAACUUAGCGAAGGUGGGGAUAGCUAGUGGGUGGGGUAACGGCUCACAAAGUCGACGAUCCCCAGCUGGUCUGAGAGGAGGACAAGCCACACUGGAACUGAGACACGGUCCAGACUCCUACGGGAGGCAGCAGUGGGGAAUAUUGCACAAUGGGCGAAAGCCUGAUGGAGCCAUGCCGCGUGUAUGAAGAAGGUCUUCGGGUUGUAAAGUACUUUCAGUGGGGAAGCGUUACCCGCAGAAGAAGCCCCGGCUAACUCCGUGCCAGCAGCCGCGGUAAUUC
rnacentral:rRNA from 1 species